ACACUGCACGUUAUAUGAACAGUUACCAUUCCUUGGAAGCCCAAUACCUUAUUUGAAAGUGGAUGGGUUCAAGUGAUUUAUCAUCACAAAUCUGGGGUGUCCGACCCCACCAUCAUGAAGGCUCAAGUCAAACCAUUGUGGAGGGUGACGGAGGAAUCACAUCAGACAUGGGUGGCUGUACACAGAGUCCCGGAGGGCAAGUGUCCUUUCAAUUGGGCACAAGACAACAGCACUCUGGACGACUGGCUACAGAACAAGAGAGGGCAUCUGGCAAGUGCAACUUCUUUGAGGAAGAACCACUUCUCCAACACUCAGGUGCAGAUGUUUGUAAAACAAGAACUGAUUUCAUCACGUGGACCCCAAAACAAUGUAUAAUUGUCCGUGUCACGUGGGAUGAUGACUUCCUCACCAAGGCUCUGGACACAAUAAUAUACCGAUUCUGGGCCAAGUAUAUCUACAACAAGAUGGUUGGCACAGCCCAAGGAGACAGACUCCAGUCUACAGACAGUCCAGGGUGGAAUACAGUGCAGAGAGGAAGAAUGAGACGCUGGUACAUGAAGAAAAGUUAGGAAUACAGUAGUUCAGUCGAAGGACUCAACCCUGAAUCAUGUAAUCGGUCUGGUGAAAAUAAAUGAUAAAUUAACUGUAUUUAGAUUGGCACUUCAGGACCCUUUUUAGGCAUCACUUUGGCUGUCACAUUCAUUUGUAUUCUUGUAAACAACACUAUCAGACAUGUUCACCAUAGCAGCACAUACGUGUAGUAUGUUGUCAACCAUCGUCUCUUCUCGCUUGUCAACUUCAUCCCUAAGGGUUCUUCAAGAAGCAAAGUGGAUGUGACCCAUGGAGGAUAUGGAAUCUUCCCUUCAGGACACCGAUCACCCUCUCUAUAGAAUAACAAUCACCUCUAAUCGCCAUGUACAUACAUUUGACCUGGUGAAAUGGUGCUACAGUGUAUACAACACAGACUAAAUAUACAGACAGAAUAUGGACAGAACAAUUUACCCAUAGUCUAGUUGUAGUACAUACACAUAAUACACAAUAGUAAGUAAUUUAAGUUAAAAAGUAUACAAAAUAAAGUGUGUGGGUGUAAAUAGCUAAUGCAGUUGAUGAGGAGUUGUCAGAGAUAUUGACUGACUGUACACUGACUGACUGUACUUAUGGGCAUGUUCUCGUUAUUUGACAGACAGCUUCAAAAGUACCGCUGAAAGAAGCCAACUUUGAAUGACGGUCUAUGGGACGAACCGGAACGUCUCCCCUGAACGAGGGGCAUGGCUUUGCGUGUUGUAAUUUAUGACGUGAAGCGGACGCUGCCUGGUGUUGGCCUUGUAUCCAAUGAAGUGCAAGCCUAUGACUAUCAGUAUUUCAGCAUCAGCAUCAGUUUCAUUUCAAUCUUUGUUUAACAACACUUUGCAUCCAUGUGGUUACCCAUAAUGAACCUCUAAUAUUGACAUUAGGUGUUUAUGUGUGUGUAAAGUAAGCUUUCUGAUCCUGUGUUUAGUGCAUGUGAAUCCGAUAGCCCUGAUCAUUAAACAAUUUUAGUGAAUGCACAAUUACUA